UGCACUUGUUUUUCAGUUAUGUAUUUGCAGCAAGUAAUCAACGAGACUAGACCUUUAAAUACAACCUUUGGAAACGAUCACGUGGUACAGUAGCUCAACUACAAUCUGCCAUCUGGUAGCGACCACGUCUGGUUUUGCGAUUAAAAAGGAUGGCAGAGCCCGAGCCACCCCUCUCGUGUGACUGCUUUGUGUCCUUGCCCCCUGGCUCACAAGAUGAUCACGUGAUCUUUGGGAAGAACUCGGACCGUCCUAGAGAUGAGGUCCAGGAGGUUCUUUACUACCCAGCAACCGGUCACCCAUCCGGGACCAUGCUGGAGUGCACAUACAUUCAGAUCCCUCAAGCAGAACACACCCAUGCUGUGGUCCUCAGCCGGCCUCCUUGGCUGUGGGGGGCCGAGAUGGGGGCCAACGACAAGGGGGUCUGCAUCGGGAAUGAGGCUGUGUGGACCCGCGAAGCUAUCGACCCAGGGGAAGCCCUACUAGGAAUGGACCUGGUCCGCUUGGGACUGGAGCGUGCGGACAGUGCCUGGGGGGCGGUGAGUGUGAUCACUGGUCUGCUGGAGCUGCACGGCCAGGGGGGGCCAUGCAGGGAGGACCCGGCUCCCUUCAGCUACCACAACUCCUUCCUCCUGGUGGACCGCAACGAGGCCUGGGUCUUGGAGACUGCCGGAAAGCUCUGGGUGGCACAGAAAGUCACAGAGGGGGUGAAGAACAUCUCCAAUGCGCUGACCAUCGGGACGGAUAUCUCGGCGGAGCACCCAGAGCUGAGGAGUGUCGCCCAGGCCCAGGGUUGGUGGAGCGGCGAGGGAGAGUUCUGCUUCAACGAGGUGUUCAAGUCUGAAAACCCCCCCGCCAGGAUGGAACUGGCCAAGAAGCGUCACAGUGGGGGCACACAGCUCCUCCAACAGCAUGAUGGUUCUGUGACGGCCGAGGUGAUGAUGUCCAUCCUGAGGGACAAGCCCAGUGGGAUCUGCAUGGACUCUGGGGGGUUCCGCACCACUGGCAGUAUGGUGUCCAUCCUGCCCCGCGACCCCAGCCUGCCCUGCAUCCACUUCCUCACUGCCACCCCCGACCCCUCCAGGAGUUUCUCUGUGUCUGUGUGUUUCAUUUGGUCCUUACCACCUCCCCUCCUCCUCCUACCGGUCUUCCGUCCUGCCAGGUCUGUUUUCAAGCCUUUUAUCUUCUCUGAGUCUGUGACCCCAGUGUCGUGGGUGAUCUCCCCACAGUACGGCCCAGACGACCCGGUCAGGAAGCAGCCGCGCUUCCAGAGCCUAGUGGACCGCAGGCACGACCUGUACAAGGCCCAUGAGGGGGCCCUGCAGACUAUGGAGACCAACCCGGACGCAGGGAAUGCUCUGACUGAGACGUUGAGGAUGUUGGAGGGCCAGUGUCUGACGGACAUAUCAGCCCUGCUCAGUGGAGAAACACCAGCAGAAGAGGAACUGGGGGACCUGUUCUUUGACUGUGUGGACACGGAGCUGAAGUUCUACCAGUGAGGAGCGCCCUCAUGUGGAGAUCGCUAGUGCUCGCAGAUCGGCAGGAGAUGGCCCUGGGACUGUUUCGUCCUGUGCUCCUGUUAGAUUGGCUCCCUCCCGUCUCAUGCACUAGAACCCUCUUGAUGCCAUUCCAUCCAUCAUUGACACAGAAUAGAAAUGUCUUAACGUUCCAUGGGAUUGGAGCAUCAUUGUCAUUUGUAUCACUUUAGGGAGCAACGCUCGCCCCACAUUAGUGAGUAUGUGAUAGACCACUACAGGAGUGUACAGUUCCAGUCAAAAGUUUGGACACACCUACUCAUUCAAGUGUUUUUCUUAUUUGACUAUUUUCUACAUUGUACAAUAAUAGUUAAGAUGUCAAAACUAUAAAAACACAUAUGGAGUCAUGUAGUAACCAAAGUUUAAAGGUUUAAACCAAUCCAAAUAUAUUUGAUAUUCUUCAAAGUAGCCAUCCUUUUCCUUGAUGACAGCUUUGCACACUCUUGGCUUUCUCUCAACCAGUCUAACCUGGAAUGCUUUUCCAACGGUCUUGAAGGAGUUUCCACAUAUGCUGAGCACUUGUUGGCUGCUUUUCCUUCACUCUGCGGUCCAACUCAUCCCAAACCAUCUCAAUUUGGUUGGGAUCGGGGGAUUGUGGAGGCCAGGUCAUCUGAUGCAGCACUCCAUCACUCUCCUUCUUGGUCAAAUAGCCCUUAUACAGCCCUUAUACAGAGUCCCGCUAAGCGCAAACCAGAUGGGAUGGCGUAUCGUUGCAGAAUACAGUGGUAGCCAUGCUGGUUAAGUGUUCCUUGAAUUCUAAAUAAAUCACUUAGUGUCACCAGCAAAGCACCAUCACACCUCCUCCUCCAUGCUACACAGUGGGAACUACACAUGCAGAGAUCAUCCCUUCACCCAGUCUGCGUCUCACAAAGACACAGUGGUUUGAACCAAAAAUCUCAAAUUUGGACUCAUCAGACCAAGGGACAGAUUUCCACCGGUCUAAUGUCCAUUAAUCAUGUUUCUUGGCCCAAGCAAGUCUCUUCUUCUUAUUGAUGUCUUUUGGUAAUGUAGUAGGAUGUCCCUUGGGGGUAUCCGUACAUAUGUAGGACAUGCAAGGGUUAGGUUAAUAAUGGUCCUUCUGUGGCUCAGUUGGUAGAGCAUGGCGCUUGUAACGCCAGGGUAGUGGGUUCGAUUCCCGGGACCACCCAUACGUAGAAUGUAUGCACACAUGACUGUAAGUCGCUUUGGAUAAAAGCGUCAGCUAAAUGGCAUAUAUUAUUAUAUAUUAUAAACAGGCUGGAGCUAGAACCUUGUUGUCGCGCGUCUUUAUUUUAGAUCGUUUCUUUGCAGCAAUUUGACCAUGGAGGCCUGAUUCACGCAGUCUCCUCUGAACAGGUGAUGUUGAGAUCUUGAAUGUCUUACUUGAACUCUCUGAAGCGUUAAUUUGGGCUGAAAUCUGAGGUGCAAUUAACUCUAAUGAACUUAUCCUCUGUACCAGAGGUAACUGUGGGUCUUCCUAUUCUGUGGUGGUCCUCAUGAGAGCCAGUUUCAUCACAGCGCUUGACGGUUUUUGCGACUGCACUUGAAGAAACUUUCAAAGUUCUUGAAAUGUUCCGGGUGGACUGACCAGUAAUGAUGGACUGUCAUUUUCUCUUUGAUUAUUUGAGCUGUUCUUGCCAUAAUAUGGACUUGGUCUUCCUCAGGGCUAUCUUCUGUAUACCACCCCUACCUUGAAACAACACAACCGAUUGGCAUGCAUUAAGAAGGAAACCAAUUCCAUAAAUUCACUUUUAACAAGGCACACCUGUUAAUUGAAAUGCAUUCCAGGUGACUACCCCAUAAAGCUGGUUUGAGAGAAUGCCAAGAGUGUGCAAUGCUGUCAUCAAGGCAAAGUGUAGCUACUUUGAAGAAUCUCAAAUAUAAAAUAUCUUUUGAUUUGUUUAAUACAUUUUUGGUUACUACAUGAUUCCAUAUGUGUUAUUUCAUAGUUUGGAUGUCUUCACUAUUAUCCUACAAUGUGUAAAACCCCUUGAAUGAGUAGGUGUGUCCAAACUUUUGGCUGGCACUGUAUGUAUGUGACUUUGCAGAUCUGUUUCACAUUAAACACCUACUGUAAGUACGCUAUUUGUCAAAUGUGCUAUUCAUUGUUACAAGUGAAUGGGGGUUAGUUGACUGACUGCCCCCAUGUGAAUUAACUAAUAAAAUAUUAGCUCUGUCUG